rnacentral:rRNA from 3 species
GAAUGCUGACAUAAGUAACGAUAAAGCGGGUGAAAAGCCCGCUCGCCGGAAGACCAAGGGUUCCUGUCCAACGUUAAUCGGGGCAGGGUGAGUCGACCCCUAAGGCGAGGCCGAAAGGCGUAGUCGAUGGGAAACGGGUUAAUAUUCCCGUACUUGGUGUUACUGCGAAGGGGGGACGGAGAAGGCUAUGUUGGCCGGGCGACGGUUGUCCCGGUUUAAGCGUGUAGGUGUGUGUUCCAGGUAAAUCCGGUUCACUUUAACACUGAGGCGUGACGACGAGGCACUACGGUGCUGAAGCAACAAAUGCCCUGCUUCCAGGAAAAGCCUCUAAGCAUCAGGUAACAUCAAAUCGUACCCCAAACCGACACAGGUGGUCAGGUAGAGAAUACCAAGGCGCUUGAGAGAACUCGGGUGAAGGAACUAGGCAAAAUGGUGCCGUAACUUCGGGAGAAGGCACGCUGACACGUAGGUGAAGUGAUUUACUCAUGGAGCUGAAGUCAGUCGAAGAUACCAGCUGGCUGCAACUGUUUAUUAAAAACACAGCACUGUGCAAACACGAAAGUGGACGUAUACGGUGUGACGCCUGCCCGGUGCCGGAA